rnacentral:misc_RNA from 1 species
GAUGAAGAACGCAGCGAAAUGCGAUAAGUAGUGUGAAUUGCAGAAUUCAGUGAAUCAUCGAAUCUUUGAACGUACAUUGCGCCCUUUGGUAUUCCUUAGGGCAUGCCUGUUCGAGCGUCAUUUAAACCUUCAAGCUCAGCUUGGUGAUGGGUGACUGUCCUCCCCUCGCGGGGGGACUCGCCUCAAAAACAUUGGCGGCCGGUACAUUGGCUUCGAGCGCAGCAGAAACGCGGUCUCGAGCCCGGUGGAUCGGCUCCCAUAAGUCUAUUCUUUUAUUUUGACCUCGGAUCAGGUAGGGAUACCCGCUGAACUUAAGCAUAUCAAUAAGCGGAGGA